rnacentral:rRNA from 1 species
CAUGCAAGUCGGACGGUCGCUUUGGGCAACUGAGGCGAUCGUGGCAAACGGGUGAGUAACACGUGGGUAACCAACCUUCAAGUGGGGAAUAACGAUCCGAAAGGGUCGCUAAUACCGCAUGAGCUCCCUUCGGGGAGGAAAGCUGCGCAAGCGGCGCUGGGAGACGGGCCUGCGGCCCAUCAGGUAGUUGGGGAGGUAACGGCCCCCCAAGCCGAUGACGGGUAGCUGAUCUGAGAGGAUGACCAGCCACAUUGGCACUGAGACACGGCCCAGACUCCUACGGGAGGUAGCAGCGAGGAAUAUUGCGCAAUGGGCGAAAGCCAGAUGCAGUAACGCUGCUUGAGGGACGAAGGCAUUCGGGUCGUAAACCUCUUUUGGGAGGGACGAGCGAGGACGGUACCUCUGGAAUAAGUCUCGGCUAAAUACGUGCCUGCAGCCGCGGUAAGACGUAGGAGGCGAGCGUUAUCUGGAUUCACUGGGCGUAAAGCGCGCGUAGGCGGCUCGUCAAGUCGGUUGUGAAAGCCCCCGGUUCAAGUGGGGGAGGUCAACCGAGACUGGCGGGCUUGAGGGUCAGAGAGGAAGGUGGAAUUCCCGGUGUAGCGGUGGAAUGCGUAGAGAUCGGGAGGAACACCAGUGGUGAAGGCGGCCCUCUGGUUGACCUGUGACGCUGAGACGCGAAAGCGUGGGUAGCAAACGGGAUUAGAUACCCCGGUAGUCCACGCCCUAAACGAUGAGGGUUAGGUGUUGGUGGGAAACCCCAUCCGUGCCGAAGCAAAUGCGUUAAGCCCUCCGCCUGGGGAC